AGUCGAGCGUCUCCCGAUUUUUCGGGGGUAGCGGCGGACGGCUGAGUAACACGCAGGAACCUACCACCAACUGGGGGAUAGCGGUGAGAAAUCAUGGGUAAUACCCCAUAGUACCUCCAAUUUGGAGGUUAAAGGAAGUAACUUUUCGGUUGAUGACGGGCCUACGGCUUAUCAGGUUGUUGGUGAGGUAAUGGCUCACCAAGCCUAUGACGAGUAGCUGACCUGAGAGGGUGUACAGCCAGAGGGGUACUGAGACACGGACCCCAUUCCUACGGGAAGCAGCAAUCAGGAAUAGUCGGCAAUGGGCGAAAGCCUGACCGCGCGACGCCGCGUGUGGGAAGAAGUUCCUUUGGAAUGUAAACCACUGUGGUAAAGGAAGAAAACCUCCAACUUGGAGGUUUGACGGUACUUUGCUAGAAAAGGGUCGCUAACUGCGUGCCAGAAGCGUCGGUAACACGUGGACCCUAAGCGUUAUCCGGUUUUACUGGGCGUAAAGAGUCGUGUAGGCGGUUUAUUAAGUUACUUUUGAAAUUUUUCUGCUUAACAGAGAAACUGGAGGUAAUACUAAUAGACUAGAGUUUUCUCAAGGGAAACUGGAACUUAAGGAGGAGUAGUGAAAUGCACUGAUACCUUAAGGAACACCAGUGGCGAAAGCGAGUUUCUAGGAGGAGACUGACGCUGAGACACGAAAGC
rnacentral:rRNA from 1 species